rnacentral:rRNA from 1 species
CCUACGGGAGGCAGCAGUAGGGAAUUUUCCGCAAUGGGCGAAAGCCUGACGGAGCAAUACCGCGUGAGGGAUGACGGCCUGUGGGUUGUAAACCUCUUUUCUCAAGGAAGAAGUUCUGACGGUACUUGAGGAAUAAGCAUCGGCUAACUCUGUGCCAGCAGCCGCGGUAAUACAGAGGAUGCAAGCGUUAUCCGGAAUCACUGGGCAUAAAGCGUCUGUAGGUUGUUUAGUAAGUCUGCUGUUAAAGACUGGGGCUUAACCCCAGAAAAGCAGUGGAAACUGCUAGACUCGAGUGUGGUAGAGGUAGAGGGAAUUCCUAGUGUAGCGGUGAAAUGCGUAGAUAUUAGGAAGAACACCAAUGGCGAAGGCACUCUACUGGGCCAUAACUGACACUGAGAGACGACAGCUAGGGGAGCAAACGGGAUUAGAUACCCCGGUAGUCCUAGCCGUAAACGAUGGAUACUAGAUGUUGCACGUAUUAACCCGUGCAGUAUCGUAGCUAAGGCGUUAAGUAUCCCGCCUGGGAAGUACGCUCGCAAAGAGUGAACUCAAGGAUUGACGNUGAGAGNGCGAGACGACGACGAGGGAGAGG